rnacentral:rRNA from 1 species
CCUACGGGUGGCUGCAGUGGGGAAUAUUGGACAAUGGGGGCAACCCUGAUCCAGCCAUGCCGCGUGUGUGAAGAAGGCCCUCGGGUUGUAAAGCACUUUCAGUGAGGAAGAACGCCUGGUGGUUAAUACCCAUCAGGAAAGACAUCACUCACAGAAGAAGCACCGGCUAACUCCGUGCCAGCAGCCGCGGUAAUACGGAGGGUGCGAGCGUUAAUCGGAAUUACUGGGCGUAAAGCGCGCGUAGGUGGCUUGAUAAGCCGGUUGUGAAAGCCCCGGGCUCAACCUGGGAACGGCAUCCGGAACUGUCAAGCUAGAGUGCAGGAGAGGAAGGUAGAAUUCCCGGUGUAGCGGUGAAAUGAGUAGAGAUCGGGAGGAAUACCAGUGGCGAAGGCGGCCUUCUGGACUGACACUGACACUGAGGUGCGAGAGCGUGGGUAGCACACAGGAUUAGAUACCCGAGUAGUC